CCGGGAGCUUGCAGGGCGCCGCCAUGUUGUACGGAACGGAGAGCUGCGUGAUGACGCACUUCCGGUGGCGCAAAGGCGGGAAACUUGAGGAAUUCCUCAGGGAUGGACCCCGGGAAAGAAGAGCAGGAAAAGGAUGAGAAAAGGGAUUUUUCACAUGGAAUUCUUCCCAGAAUUUCUGGAAUUCUUCCCCAGAUUCCAAAUUUGCUUCCAAAAUUUCCCAAAUCUCCCCCCAAA